AUGGCAGAAGAGUUCAAAGGGCUGGGCCUCUCCUGUGGCUCAGCCUUAUUUCAUUCCUGUGACA
ensembl:snoRNA